rnacentral:rRNA from 1 species
UACGGAGGGUGCAAGCGUUAAUCGGAAUUACUGGGCGUAAAGCGUGCGCAGGCGGUUUGUUAAGUCCGUUGUGAAAGCCCCGAGCUCAACUUGGGAAUUGCAGUGGAUACUGGCAGGCUGGAGUACGGUAGAGGAAGGUGGAAUUCCCGGUGUAGCAGUGAAAUGCGUAGAUAUCAAGUGGAACACCAGUGGCGAAGGCGAGUCUCUGGACAUUUCCUGACGCUGAGGCACGAAAGCCAGGGGAGCAAACAGG